rnacentral:rRNA from 1 species
UGCAGAGGGUGCUAGCGUUAAUCGGAUUUACUGGGCGUAAAGCGUGCGUAGGCGGUUUGAUAAGUCGAUUGUGAAAGCCCUGGGCUCAACCUAGGAAUUGCGGUCGAUACUGUCAGACUAGAAAACGGUAGAGGGAGGUGGAACUCCAGGUGUAGCGGUGAAAUGCGUAGAUAUCUGGAAGAACACCGAUGGCGAAGGCAGCCUCCUGGGCCUGUUUUGACGCUGAGGCACGAAAGCGUGGGUAGCAAACAGGAUUAGAUACCCCUGUAGU